UUUCAGGAAAUAAUGUACACAAUAUGGAAGGUAUUCACAAAGCUAUUCAUCAGCUCAAUCACUCUAACGACAUCAGCAUCAAAGUUGAAGGACUCAGCGAAAUUAAUAAAUAUUGUGAUUCGCACACAGCCGGCACUCGCAAUGAGUUUAUCACGGUGCUGAACGGUGACCAAACAACGAUUGCCACACUUUGUAAACUACUGAAACAGUUACGUCUUACAGAGUCUGUUACAUCUGUGAUAUUGAACAAGCUGUUUUACAUUGGGUGGAAUGGAUACAUUGACGAUGUUAAGACUGACAAUGAUCCUAAUCCUAUGUUUACUGGUUGUAUGAUGGAAAAUGGUGCAAUCAAAACUAUCCUGCAACUCCUUCCUAUGAUUGUUGAUACAAGUGAUAUAUAUUGGGCAGUUACUUUAUUGACUCAAUUCAUAAAUACAGAUUUCAAGAAUACAAGGUUUUUCGAAUGGAGCACAAAAUGGAAAGGAGACAUUUUUGCUGAGCUUCCACUGCUUCUUAAAACCGCAGAGAACAUGGAUAGCGAUUACGAACGCCGGUUCUGUAAGAAAGUAUUUGACAUAUUCCAAUACUAGGGAAGGCAUUCGAUGUACUGUAUGCCCAUGGUGAGGUCCCAUAUAAAAGACGGAACAAUAAAUAAGUUAUUCAAGUUAUUCGGUGAGAUGAGUAAUGACAAUACUUUUGUGAAAGCAUACCUGAAUGACAUGAUACAGACUUUUCGUAUAAUACUUCAAUACACUGAGACCAAAGAACAGAUGCAUGGGCUUAACACUGAAUUCCGGAUUUUGACUGAAGUUGCAGUAAAAAAUCUCUCUCAAGUUUCAAAGGAUAACUGGGCAUUCGAAAAUGUAGUGAAAAAUAUUUCUAUUUAUCUGCAAGAUGGUGAUAGAGAAGAUCGCGAGUUCUAUAUGAAAGAAAAACUGUUUAAAAGACUGAUUUUGUACUUGGUUGUGGAAUUGAGCUAUACAGAAAUGCGUUAUGAAAGCUCGGAACAUCGUGUCACCCUAAGAAAUAUUGAUGAAAUGAUGCCUGGUAUACCAUUGUGCAUAAACUUGAUCUCACAAACGAAACUGUGCAUAGACUUGACUUCACAAACGGAAAUUAACACUGAUUUAACAAAGUUUGGCAUGAUAAUAGGAAUAUUGUCUGUUAUCGUGAAAAAGCUAGUAUUAGUCAAAAACGAUGACUUGGGUCAAAUAGACUCACAAUUGCAUGUGUUAGAAGAUUGCGAUUUUGUUUGUGGGAUUGGAAGAGCAUUAACUCUAAUUAAAGAACCAAUUUUCACAUCCCAGCUUUUGAGUAUACUAAUUGGUCUGAGCCAACUGAUGGAUAGAAGGGUACUUAUGGAAAAGUUGCUAGUCUUUUUACCAGACCUAGCUGAAAAGCAAAAGAAAUAUAUCGACCAUACUAUUACUAAUGUUGAAGGACGUCUUCUUAGGUCACAAAUCUCCCAUAUUAUGAGAAAAGCUGCUGCUUAUGCAUUGGACGACAUUGAUCCCGUCUUCUUCGUCAAAGAUGUGUCUCCUAACAUUGUGAUUGCCUGGAAAAGUUUCCGAAUUUUAGAUAGAAAGAUGUUAUUUUCAUCUCACUCAUUGGAAACUGAGGAAAAUGUUGAACUAUCUAAUACUGGCCAAUGCACAGACAUUGAUGUUCUUAGAGCAACGUGGAAAAUGACUGAAAAAUUCCCGGAACUCAUCUGCUUUCAUAUUGCCAAAUUGAACCCUUCCGUAUUUGGGGAAAACACACAACCUCAAAAAACACUUUCGGGAAUGCCAACUCUUAUAAUCAAAACUUUGAUCUCCUACCUCGACCAUUCUCAAGAUAACAGCUUGGACUUCUUAAGAGAACUGACCUCUUUCGUCAAAGACCUAUCUCAUGAAGCUGUCAGCUCUGAAAUGAGCAGAGUAAUGUUUAGUGGUUUACCUCAAGCAUGCGAAGAUUUCCUGAAAGUGAACAGCGAUAAAGUGACAAACCAUAAUUUAAAGUAUUUUAUUAAUGUAUAUAACUAUACUAGCCUAGACUAGAGUAACUAAAGUUUUAUACUUUAAAUAGUUUUGUGAGCACAUAUUAUUGUAAAGAGAAUUGAUUCCUCACCUCCUAAUUGAUCUAGCAUGAUUGAAUGUUUUGGUCCUUAGAAAAAAGAAAAAAAGGGAAAAAAAGUUGUGAUA